rnacentral:rRNA from 1 species
CGUAUAUUAAAGUUGUUGCAGUUAAAAAGCUCGUAGUUGGAUUUGUGGUGUUUGGCUGAGUCCCAGCAUUGUCUGGGUGCUCGUGUCGAAUGCCAUCCUUGGGUGGAAGCAGUGUGGCAUUAGGUUGUCGUGCUGUGGAUGCCCAUCGUUUACUGUGAAAAAAUCAGCGCGUUCAAAGCAGGCUUAUGCCGUUGAAUGUAUUAGCAUGGAAUAAUAAGAUAGGACCUUGGUACUAUUUUGUUGGUUUGCGCACCGAGGUAAUGAUUAAUAGGGACAGUUGGGGG